AUUCCUGGGGGAGCCCUGCAUGGGCUGAGAUUCCGCGGCAACGCGGUAACCCUUUGAACCUGAUCCGGGUAAUGCCGGCGAAGGGAAGGA
rnacentral:ncRNA from 1 species